rnacentral:piRNA from 1 species
UCAACGUCACACCUUUCAACGUCAGCCACC